rnacentral:lncRNA from 1 species
GUUCGGUUUGCGAGGUCUCCGCCUGGCAGCUCUAUACCUCAGGAAGAGGGUAGAACGCUCUGCCUACCCAGCUGACGUUCCCAGGCCGGGCAUUGCGCCCCCUGCCAGGGCUCUCGCUCCGGCGCCGCGAGCACCAUCUUCCAGAACUAGAGAGAGCCCUUUCAUUCUUAGGUCGUCGGCGGGCCCGGUGACUCCAGCACUGGGCUGGUGUGUCCCUCGCUGGCGCAGCGCGGGCACUGGCACGUAGGUGGAGCUCCAGUAGUUGUUGGAUGAGCCAAGAGGUCGUGAAAACAGGUUAUCUGCCCCAGUCCCGGAGGCCACAGUGUCCUCAAACUGAGACUCCUAAUCUAGGACUCCCCAUCUCCGGAGCGUCCUCCGGCUUGACCUCAGACUCCCAGAUCCACUGCGCUCAGUCUCCCAAAACGAGCGGGGAAGACAAUGGGAGACCAGAGGAAAUGCACCUUUUGGGAAGAGCCAGGCAUCGUUUGCUGGUUUUGUGGCUACAAGCAGAGUUAAGUGGUUGGUGUCAAAAGUUAAGCAAUCAAAUGCUGGGGAAACCAACACGGAAACUACAACUUUCAACUAUAUACUACACAUAUAUACUGGAAAUGGACACUUAAAUAAAUGAAUAGUGGAUGAUGGCCACCAGGUCUCUUACCUGUUACCAGCAGAAGGAGGCUAGAGUGGUCCAUGUGCUCUUGGGUCAGAGCUGAAGUCAUCAGUGUGAACUCUUAUUUGGCUUAGUAGAGCUACAGAGAUAUAUAUAGUAGAUAUAUAUAUAUAGAGAGAGAGAGAUUAGAUAGAUAUAAAUAUGUGUUUACACAGGGUAGUAACACAAUGCAUGUAUCUCCUUGCUCUAUCAGCUAAGUGGGCCUGCAGAGGACAACCAACACAGCUAGCACCCAGAUCUUCUUUUUAGUACCAUUCUUCAACAAAAGGAACCAGUCCUCCUUGGGGAAAUAGCUGAUUCUAAUCCUGGGACGGGAAAUAUUUAACAAGAACCUGGAGCAUCCUGCUGUGUCAGAAGGUAAGGAAGUUCUCUCCCACACCCACCUAAAAAGUUGGGUUUUGUUUGUUUUGUUUUAAUUAACAAGAAUGUUGGGGGUAUGUCAAAGCAACACAACAUCCAAUUGAAAGAGCUCCCAAUGGCCAAAGCCAGAAAAUUUGAACAAGAAAAUAAAUAACACACUAUUUGAAUAUAGCCAAGAGUAUAAAAUAAAUAUCUGCUGAUAUAAAUAAAUGAUUAAGUAAAUAAAUAGGGGAAAACAGGCAAAUCUCCUAUGCAGAAGAAUUAAAAAUAAUUUAUGUCUGUAUUGUGCCCUGAAUGAGAUGGAAUAAAACUCCCUGUUCCUUGACUGUGGGCUGCAUACAGGAACUUCCUUCCAAAGAAUACAAAAUGAGAGCUGGGACUGUGACUGAAUGGUAGCACACUUGCCUGGCAUGCAUGAGGCACUGGGUCUAAUUUUCAGCACCACAUAUAAAUAAAUUAAAUAAAUAAAGGUCAACAACUAAAAAGAAAUAAUAAUUUUAAAAAAGAAUACAAAAUGAAAAGGAGGGGAGAAAAGUACGUUUACAAUAGAGAAACAUGACCAACACUUUCUUGGAUAGAUAAUUAAGGUGAACAUCAGAAGCAAUGAGUCUUGUUGAUAGCAUGGAUUCUUGAUAUGAUGUGAUGAAAAUGGCAUUUUAUCUCUGUGUCCUUCUUCCCAAAAGCCCAUAACACCUAAUAGUGAGAAAAACAUCAAAGGAAUCCCAAUUGAAGGACAGCCUACAAAUUACUUGACCAACACAAUCCCAGCCUAUCAAGGUCAUCAAAAAUAAGCAAAGUCAGGGCUGGGGAUGUGGCUCAAGUGGUAGCGCGCUUGCCUGGCAUGUGCAGGGCGCUGGGUUCAAUCCUCAACACCACAUAAAAAUAAAAUAAAGAUACUGUAUCCACCUAAAACUAAAAAAUAAAUAUUAAAAAAAAUUAAAUACUUGAGAAAUGCCCAGGUAAGUGUAGAAAGCAAAUCUAAAAAAAAAAAAACAACAAACAAACAAAGUCAGAGAAACUGUCACAAUCAUGAGUAUCCUAACAAAAUAUAAGAACUAAAUACUUUGUAGUAUUCUUGAUGAGAUCCUGGAACCAAAAACCACGUUAUAUAAAAGCUUGAGAAAAUCAGAAAAUUGGAAUACCAUAUGGACUUUGGUAAAUAACAAUGAACCAAUAUUGCUUCUUUAAUUGUGAGAAAUGUACCCUCCUAAUAAAAGAUGAUAAUAAUAGGGAAAGCCAAGUAUAGGGCAUAUGGGAACUCUCUUCACAACUUUUUUAGUAAACAUCAAUCUAUUUAAGAGAAAAUUUUGUUUUUAAAGUUUUAUUGUUUCAUUUUUUAAUUUUUGUUUAUGUAUUUUUGGGGGUUUGAACCUAGGGGCGCUAGCCACUGAGCAACAGCCCCACCCCUUUUUGUUUUUUAUUUUAAAGCAGGGUUUCAUGAAGUUGUUAGGGCUAAGUAGCUAAGCUUGUGAUCCUCCUGCCUCAGCCUCCCAAGCAUUAGAAGUUUGAAUUUUUUUUUUUUUUCUGGAUGGUCAAUAUUUAAAAAAAAAAAAAAAAGCAAUAGACCCAAAUUUCACCAACUGUCAACUCAGGUUUGUUGACAAUGUUUCUUUUUCUUAUUUUUUUUUCCCCUAUUGGUUAAUUUCUGUCUCCAGCUAGCAUUCCCCUUGAGAGGAAGAACGGCUUAAUCCUAGUUCAGGGAAAACCCAAACUUUUGUGCUUUUCUUUGUUUUUUGAGUGCUUUCCCCCUGCUGCUUACCCCCACCCACCCCAAGGCUUAUAGCUGAGCUUUCAGCUUUAAGUUUUCAAAGUGGGAACAGAAAGGUUGUACCUGGUUGUUGGUCAUCCUAAAUUCAUGCUGGCAUGCCUUCCCCUCCAACUCCACAGCCUUCCUGAAUUGCGGACAUUGCUAAGGCCAUGCCUCAGCGGUUGCUCCUCAUCCAACCGUGGGAACUCUGAGGUCUGCUGGCAGUCAGUGCCCCUCCUGAGCUACUCCCAGCCACCCUGGAAAAUACUCAGCUGCUCACAGGCAUGCUCAGACCCCAGCAUGCCCAGACCUAGAAACAAAGAACAAGAUCUCUGCUCUCAGAUCCCUCAAGCCUAGCUGGGGACAGCCUUUCUCAGAGUCAUGUUGGGGUUUAAUGCUCUCCAUCUCUACCACCAACCCAAAUUUGAAAAAUGAAAAAAAAUAUAGAUAGUUAGAGAUAUGUGAAUGGCAGGAGGGGAACCUCACUCCAGCUUCACAAUGCUUUCUUCCAUUUCUACUGUUUUCAGCAUAACCUUUGUGCUCUUUAAGAGAAAACUUUUAAUGUUCAACAAUCUUUUGCUGAGUGCAGUGGCACAUGCCUAUAAUUUCAGCUACUCAAGAGGCUGAGGCAGGAGGAUUGCAAAUUCAGAGCCAGCUUGGGCAGCUUAAUCAACUUUUCCUCAAAAUAAAAUAUAAGAAAGAGCUGGGAUAUAUCUCAUUAGUAUAGCAUUUGCCUAGCAUGCACAAGGCCCUGGGUUCCAUCCCCAAUAAUACAGUCUUUUCCCUCCACUUAUUCUCUCUGCCAUAGGCUACAAAAAUAUCUCUUAAAACUUAGAAGCCAUGUGCCAACCUAUUUCUCUUUGCAUCCCUUCCAUAAUAACCCCGUUUUUUGGAUUGUGAAUACAGAACCCCCUCACUGCCACCAAAAUAAAAUGGUUGAGAAAGGUCAAGAAUUUGAAAAAAUAAAAAUUGCUUGGAGGAGAGGGACAGAUUGGAUAGCAAGCUACCAUAGAAAGAUUGGCAAUACCCUGCUGGUGGUACCUGGGAAGUGGCAAGUAAAAAAGCCUAGCCCAUGUUGGAGGAGGGUGAGUGUGAGGGUAAGGGGUGUUGAAAGUGAGCCUGAAGGAGAAAGUGACUGACUGUGUGUAAUAACCACUGAGGGUGUUGGGGAUCAGGGUGGGUAGGGAUAGUUGGUGUAUAUUUGGGCAAAAACAGGGCUUUAGUCUUAGGACUAGAUUCUGGCCAAUUCUUCUAUCUCAGGUAGUCAGCCCCAAAAAGACUUGUGUGCAAGUGUGGGACACACAUGUAGACUCACCCAGAUUGCAAUAAGAGAAAAAGGCUGCACACAGGGUUUUUUUCCUUCUUCCAUCUAAGCAUGUGCAAGAGAUCUAAACAGGGUUUCAUGACAGCUGCUGUUGAUCCUACCCAACCUUCAAAAUUCAGCUCAAAUUUCAUCCCCUUUCAUGAAGCUCCUACAUAACUCAAAUUGAUCUUUCCUAUCUCUGGAUUCUGCAGCAGCAUUUUAGCAUUUAAUCAUAUACUGUAUUAUAUUAUUCACAUCUUUCAUGUUUAAUGUCUUGGCUACAAGAUGCAGAGAUCCUUUGCCAUCAUUACACAGGUACUCAUGUGCCUAGAGCCCAAAGGCAUGAACUGAAAUGUGGAACGACAGCUAACUCAGACACUUCAGCGUGUACAUCAGUAUACUUUCUUUCCUUCUUAUCAAACCUAUGCCCAACUUAAAAAAAAAAAAAAAAAAACUCCAUUUUUUUACCUUAAAAAGUGACUAACCCCCAAUACUUUAAAAUGCAACUUUAUUUGAAAACAGAGUCAUUGCAAGAUGUAAUUAUUUAAGACUACAGUCAUACUGCAGUAAUUCAAUGUGACUAGAGUCCUUGUAAGAAGAUGGCCGUGUGAAGAGAGAGACAUGCAGGAAGAAUGUAAUGUGAAGAUGGAGGAUUGGGACAAUAUAUCUACAAGCCAAAGGAUACCAAAAUUGCUAGAAGACCACCAGAAGCAAGGGAGAAGUAAAGAAGGAUUCGCCUACAGUUUUCAGAGGAAGCAUGGCUCUACCUACACUUGAUUUCAGACUUCUAGCCUCCAGAACACUGAAGCAAUAAAUUUCUAUUACUUUAAGCUGCCCAGUUUAUUAUACUUACAGUUAUAGCAACCUUGCUAUAACUAAUCCAUGAGCUAACAUAUUUAACUAGUCCUCCAAUUUUUCUAAUGAAACUCAUUCUAAGGAAAGAUUACAUGUUGACCUUAUGAAUAUUGUUUGGGUGAGUUAGGUAAAGAAAAACAUUCCAGAGGAAUGUGGAGAAUUAUAACAUGAGUGGUUGUAAGAAUAAAUAGAUGUGAGAACAUCCUCUGAAAAUGUCCAGGAGAUUCUGGCCAGAAUUUAAAACUUGUUUUAGUCUGUUUUCUGUUACUAUAACAAAAUACCUGAGUCUAAAUAUAAAGAAAAGAAGUUUAUUUAGCUCACAGUGUUGGAAGCAAAAAUUCCACCUUGUUGUGUCAUAUCAUGGUGGAUGAAAUCUUGGCAGGAACACCUUUGAGGAGAGAUCCCAUGGUGAGAUAGUAGCCAGGGAGGGAACAGUGUUACUCUUUUAUGACAACCUCUUUUGGAGAGUUAACCAUGAUCCCAUGAGAACUUCCAAAUGCAGUGCCUCCAAAUGACCUAACCACCUUUCACUAGUUCCCCCUUCUUAAAGGCUACACACUACUUCUCAACAUUGUCACACUGCAGAUCAAGCUUCCAACACAAGAACUUUUGGGGGACAUGCUUAAAUCAUAUCCAACCAUAGUGGAAUCCUAGCUCUAAAUUUGAGCUCAAGAACACAAAGAUUCCUGAAUUUUCUAGACUUGUCAAUUUAUCAAAGAGAUGAGUAUAAAAAGUGAGUAGACAUGGGCCCCGGAGCUCAGUUUUUAUGCCAUACAUUGUGUAAUCCUGGGGGGAGGUAUGACUCAAGAGUGCCCUGGAACUCCCCAGCUGAUUCUGAGCCAAAUUAAGGGACACAUGGAUGAAGAGGAGCCCACCCUCAAAGACCAGAGCAUUUUAUUCCACAAGGUAAUGCUAAGUCUACUGACAAAUGAGUCCAAAUUAACCUGGAUUCUUGGAUUUUAUUGAUUUGGGGUGACCACUAAACUAGAAAGAUCCAAGUCAGAGCCCUACAUUCUAAAUGCCUAUUCACAGACACAGGGCCCCAAGAACUACUGCCUGGGCUUCAGGGAUGAUUGAUUGGCAAAGAGUCCUUGGAGGCCCCUUACAUCAGUGUUUUUUCCAGGCAUUGAAAUAUCUCUGAAUAUCCAUAUUAAGCAGAGAAGACUGGGUGGGAAAUGGAAGAGACAGUAGGUGGGAUGACCUUGGAAAGAAACAGGAGGUGGCUGGUCAACGUGGUGCAUGCCUGUAAUCCCAGGGGCUUGAGAGGCUGAUGCAGGAGGGUCAUGAGUUCAAAGCCAGCCGUGGCAACUUAGCAAGGCCCCAAGCAACUCAGCAAGCCCCUGUCUCUAAAUAAAGUAUAAAAUAUAAAAAAGGAUGUGGCUCAGUGGUUAAGCGCCUCUGGGUUCAAUUUCCUGGUACAAACAAAACAAUAACAACAAAAAUGGGGUAGAAUUUGGAAGCAUCUGAGGUAUAUGGGAGGAAAGUUGUGUGUGUGUGUGUGUGUGUGUGUGUACAAAUUCUGCCAUACUUUUGCCUGUCUGCAUUUGAGGUUGGAGUUGAUGAAGAUCCUGAUGUAGUAUCAGGAAAAUUCAGCAAUAUGGGAGGGGGAUAAUACAGAUAAAUUUGACUUAGAAAUGAGCUCAAAUUUGGAAGUUGCAAAAUUUUAUUAUUUCUAGUAUAUAAAUUAGACAAGAGUGGGAGAAAUGACAGUAUCUGUAUUUACUACCUUAGCUUCAAAUUGAUCAAUGUUCCAGACUCAUUUUUUUUUUUUAAGAACUGGUGACUUUCUGGUCCCUCCCCCAAAUUUAAAGAAUUCCAAAUUGACCCCCUCUCUGGCUCAAAAUAUGCAAGAUCUAAAAUUUACCUGGUGAGGGCUGGGAAUAUAGCUCAGUUGGCAAAGUGCUUGCCUUGCAUGCACAAGGCCCUGGGUUCAAUCCCCAGCACCACAAAACAAAACAAAACAAAACAAAUGGCUUCCUCCUGGGCUGGGGAUGUGGCUCAAGCACGCAUGCUUCGGCCCAGGUUCGAUCCUCAGCACCACAAACAAAGAUGAUGUGUCCGCCGAGAACUAAAAAAUAAAUAUUAAAAAUAAAUAAAUUAAUUAAAUAAAUAAAAUUUACCUGGUGAGAUUCCUUCCUUUGGAUCCUGGAAAUUUUGUGGUCCUCACUUUAAAGGAUAAAGACUCCUGGGAGUGCUAACACCUUAAAGCUUUAUCACUGAUUACCUUAUAGAGAAGAUUAGGGGAUUAGCCAAGCAUUAGUAAUGCAGGAUAAAAGAAGGAAAAGAGCAAUGGAAGGGGAAGGCACACUCAUUAAAAGCCUCUACCAUGCUCUCUCAAGGAGCUGGUCUUGCUGUUUGUUUCCAGUGCAGAAUUUGAGAAAAGUCUACCCUGGUUCAUUUGCAGGAGUGAUAAGGAUUUUUGUAUUUUACUCACUGAAUCUUCAGGUCUUUGAUAACAAACAAGAAACCAUGUAAAAACUCCAUGUCCAGUUUUGAGCUACUCUAGAAGUCUUAAUUUAUUCAUGUAGUAAACAUAUAUUGAGCCCCUACUAUGUGGCAGACACUCUUUAAGGACUAUGAUCACAAGAGUGAACAAAAUAGAACAGUAAUCUUACUUCACACAGCUUACUUUCUAGAGAGGGUGAGGUGUGUCAGCCAAUACAAGUAAAAUGCAUCCUGGCCAAAUGAAAAUAGGUUCAACAUAAUAGAAUAAGACAGAAAAGGGGAAGAGAAGUCUGGGGAAUAGGACUAUGAGCAACGUGACACUGGAGCAAGAUUAGAAAGAGGAGGCUAGCAGGGAGGAGACUGGAGGGAGUGAACAGUGUCUGCAAGGUCCCAAGGCAAGAGCAGGAAGGGCCAGUAGUUGGGUGUUGGGGAAUAUAGGAGAUGUGUUUGGUGAGGUACAGGAACCCCAGUACUUUAAACCACCUAGAUGCUUUCUAAGGACUCUGCCUUUUAGUUAGAAUGAGAGGGGGGAUGUGGAUCAUUUGUGUGGAAAGAUUCUAAGUGUUUUUAGGUUGAAAGUAGAUUAUGCAGACUCCUCAGAAUGUUAGGAAAUGAAGCCAAAGCUUGUUAAAAGCUUUGCAAAUGAUUGCAGUGGGGUUUUAACUAGAAACUAACUGCUGUCAUCUCCCAGAGUGAAGAAUCCAUCAGAUGCCCGUGGACUUAGGACCACUGCAGUCACUAAUGGGACCUCAUGGCAGAGACAGCUGGAAGAGCAAAGCCACGCACCUGGAGGUAAUAGGAAAGGAGACCCAUGAGAAUGGGGCCCAACAUUGUGGACCAUCUCCAGAGUUGACCCCAUGUGUCCAACCAUAGCCCAUAGGACUCCUUCCCUCCCAAGCCAAAGAGCUUGC